GACGAACGCUGGCGGCGUGCUUAACACAUGCAAGUCGAACGGAAAGGCCCUGCUUUUGUGGGGUGCUCGAGUGGCGAACGGGUGAGUAAAACGUGAGUAACCUGCCCUUGACUUUGGGAUAACUUCAGGAAACUGGGGCUAAUACCCGAUAGGAGCUCCUGCUGCAUGGUGUGGGUUGGAAAGUUUCGGCGGUUGGGGAUGGACUCGCGGCUUAUCAGCUUGUUGGUGGGGUAGUGGCUUACCAAGGCUUUGACGGGUAGCCGGCCUGAGAGGGUGACCGGCCACAUUGGGACUGAGAUACGGACCAGACUCCUACGGGAGGCAGCAGUGGGGAAUAUUGCACAAUGGGCGGAAGCCUGAUGCAGCAACGCCGCGUGCGGGAUGACGGCCUUCGGGUUGUAAACCGCUUUCGCCUGUGACGAAGAGUGAGUGACGGUAAUGGGUAAAGAAGCACCGGCUAACUACGUG
rnacentral:rRNA from 1 species